rnacentral:rRNA from 1 species
AUGCACGCUGGCGGCGUGCCUCAUACCUGCAAGUCGAGCGCACAGACGAGGAGCUUGCUCCUUUGACGUUAGCGGCGGACGGGUGAGUAACACGUGGAUAACCUACCUAUAAGACUGGGAUAACUUCGGGAAACCGGAGCUAAUACCGGAUAACAUGUUGAACCGCAUGGUUCAACAGUGAAAGACGGUCUUGCUGUCACUUAUAGAUGGAUCCGCGCCGCAUUAGCUAGUUGGUAAGGUAACGGCUUACCAAGGCAACGAUGCGUAGCCGACCUGAGAGGGUGAUCGGCCACACUGGAACUGAGACACGGUCCAGACUCCUACGGGAGGCAGCAGUAGGGAAUCUUCCGCAAUGGGCGAAAGCCUGACGGAGCAACGCCGCGUGAGUGAAGAAGGUCUUCGGAUCGUAAAACUCUGUUAUUAGGGAAGAACAAAUGUGUAAGUAACUAUGCACGUCUUGACGGUACCUAAUCAGAAAGCCACGGCUAACUACGUG